CCGUGAGAUCAUGACCUGAGCUGAAGUCGAUGCUUAACCGACUGAGCCACCCAGGCGCCCCUAACUAGCUUGGAUUUAAAUAAAACAAUUUUUUAAAGUUCAGUAAAUGCUAAAUAUGAACUUGAAAUUUCACCUAGAAGCAAAUGUAGAAAACAUUAUUUCUUUGGUCUCUACAAUGUAAUGCUCACGCUAGAACGAAGAGAAUAUUUGAAUUAAGCAAAAGCAUAAGGUUCCUAUAUUUAAAAAUGUAUUGUGUUAUGCUAUAUAAUCUCCUUUACUGUUUGACUUCUCACUUCAAAUGCUCUUUCAAUACAGUAUUGCACUAGACUCGGUUAGAUUACCUACUUACUUCUGUGCUUACCCAAGCUGUGUAAAACUAUAAGAUUGUGGUUAUUUCAUAGGUAGACAAAGGCCCCUUCUUAGCCUAAAUAUCAUUAUUCCUUCAGGCCUGGAUCUAAGAGAAAAUGAUUGCUAAACACCAAAUUCUGUCUAAAUUCAGCCUUAACCAAAAAAAAAAAAAAUCUGAAUAGGUUUAGAUAUUAGAACAUCUUUGUGAUGUAAGCAUAACUAUACUUCCCAAGUCUUUCGUGUUUGAAUAACAUUAAUCUAACUUGAGAAGCAAAUGGUCUCUCAUGUUAAGGCUCUGGCUAAUGUUAAGAUUCAUCACCUAAUGUUUUGACUCUUUUUGACAAAUAUAGGAAACAUUUGCCUAAUAAUGUCAUUGUACAUUCUUCUAAAAAGGCUCCCUGCCAAUAACAUUAACAUCUUUGAUUCUUUAGACAUUAAUCACAUCCAUUUUUCACGCUAGAUGUGUAAACAACUAACUCAAGACUCAAAACAGAUUAUGUGUUCGCACCUCUUUGCGUGGUGGAUACUCGGUCGGGAUUUGUUCUCGUUGUUGAUCCCUCACUCUGGCCAAGGAUGGAGCUGAACCACUUCUAUCUGUAGGCUCCUGCUCUAACAGGAAGUAAGAGAUACUGACCAUGAGAUGUCCACCUCCGUUUACACGUCUCCUUUGUAACUGGUGUCCUUCCAUCCAUGUUCUGACACACCUACCGACUGCCCUGAUUGAGUUCUUCGUCCCCAGGGCCUGGUCUAACUUCUUAAGUUUGCACUGCCCAACUGCGUAUCUGGAUUCUGGAGCCCUGUUUCGUUCUACAGAAUCUCGUGGUGUCUGACUCACUGAGUGCCCUUUGACCCAGUCAGCUCUCUCCUGACGUGUCAGUUCUCAUGCCCGUCGCCAGGGCAUAGGUCCACCCUGUGCCACCUGCUAUAAACCUCCAGGGAUGUGCCUCGACGAGCAUUUAAGAACCGAAAGGUUGGAGAGGCUGCAAAAAGCCAUGCUAAAUAUGGAACAGUGGAACGGCUAGCAAGUAACCACAACACAGCAGCACAUGUAGAUGGGACGUACAAGAAGACAUUCGGAGGAAGUGGAGUCACCCCCCCCCCCCCCCCGGCAGGCAGGGGCAGUGAUGACGUCCCUGCGUCUCUUUCAUCUUCCCAUACCCUUGAAGACACCGUGAGACUGCAAAGUGAGAUUCUGGUCGCAGGAAGGAAUAGGUGAACUUCGCUGUCGGGGGUUGGGGAGGAUCUUCGCUUUUCUUCUGAGUUUUGGUAACACUUAUUCUUAUUUGCAGACGGAGACUGAUUCUGGAGAGUUAGAGGGUCCAGAGCAGAGAAGGCAGGAGCUUCCUUCUGCCCCCUGCCCACUACCGUCCUUCAAAGGAGCCAGCUUCACGCAACGGUCUCGGGCUCAAAUCCCCACCUGCCGCCAAGUGGCACGUUCACUCUUGUCUCAUGACUUUCUUCAUGUUUUUCCUCAACCAAGAAUUCACUCCCUCCCUUCCUGUCAAGAAAACUGCGUCCCAUCUUCAAGGACUACACUUGCUAGGUCACCUCUGUCAUUCAUCUUUUGUUGGCUACUUCAAGCCCUUGCCCUUCCCUAAAAUUCUUUCCACUAACCACUUGACGCGUUGGUUUGAUUAACGUGGGAUUGCUCCACAUUUCUUUUCCCCAGCAAAAGUCCAAGGUCCUUAAUUAGAGGGGCUUGAAUGUGCUUCUCCGGCACACACGUUUUCUCUUGCCAUUCAUCACCCUCUGCUGGGCUCCUCUGGACCUUCCCACCCCACCGACUUGGCUAACUUCUAAAAGACCUUAAGGCUCACUCGACUACCCCUGCUCUGAGAAGUCCAUCACCCCCUUCUUCACUCCUAAAAAGACUUGACCGGCACCCGCUCUGUGCCAUGACUGGACCACCGUAUACCUCUGUCACAGGGAGCACUGUGCACACAACGCUCAUGCGACUUUUCUUCUCCUCCGGACCUCCUGAGAGAAAAGGUUCUGUCGUACUUAUCUUUGUAUCCCCUAUGCCUCGCACCUCUCCCACAGCACAUAAUCAACGUCUGCUUCAUUCUCUGAGGAUCUGGAGUCUGCAGUGGAAGCCAAGCAAAAGUUGCCUUUCGGGCCUCGUCUAGCCCUUUACGGACAGCCGGCUGAUCCGACUGGAGAGACUUGAGUACACAAGUAGGACGCCAGCAAGGAGAGGCCAGGCUUUUUGGUGAUACGAGGACCAGGCUGUCAGAUGCUGACCAGGAGGCCCACAACCUGAACAGAUCAUGCGGGAGAACUCACAGCUCUAUACUGUUCAUGUUUCCUUCGUAGGACAGCCACGUGGUGCCUUUAUUCAGAGAGCUUCAAAAGUUUUUGUUUUUUUUUUUUUUGUUUUUUAAUUUUUUUUUCAACGUUUAUUUAUUUUUGGGACAGAGA